rnacentral:tRNA from 1 species
GGGCGCUUAGCUCAGUUGGUCAGAGCGCUUCGUUUACACCGAAGAGGUCGGGGGUUCGAGCCCCUCAGCGCCCA